rnacentral:rRNA from 1 species
UUAUUGGAGAGUUUGAUCCUGGCUCAGGAUGAACGCUGGCGGCGUGCCUAAUACAUGCAAGUCGAGCGAAUGGAUUGAGAGCUUGCUCUCAAGAAGUUAGCGGCGGACGGGUGAGUAACACG